rnacentral:rRNA from 1 species
CCCAGACUCCUACGGGAGGCAGCAGUGGGGGAUAUUGCACAAUGGGGGGAACCCUGAUGCAGCGACGCCGCGUGGGUGAAGGAGCGUUUCGGCGCGUAAAGCCCUAUCGGCAGGGAAGAAGGAGGACGGUACCUGACUAAGAAGCCCCGGCUAACUACGUGCCAGCAGCCGCGGUAAUACGUAGGGGGCAAGCGUUAUCCGGAUUUACUGGGUGUAAAGGGGGCGCAGACGGCAGCGCAAGCCAGGAGUGAAAGCCCGGGGCCCAACCCCGGGACUGCUCUUGGAACUGCGCGGCUGGAGUGCAGGAGGGGCAGGCGGAAUUCCUGGUGUAGCGGUGAAAUGCGUAGAUAUCAGGAGGAACACCGGUGGCGAAGGCGGCCUGCUGGACUGCGACUGACGUUGAGGCCCGAAAGCGUGGGGAGCAAACAGGAUUAGAUACCCCCGUACAG